rnacentral:rRNA from 1 species
UACGUAGGUGGCAAGCGUUGUCCGGAUUUACUGGGCGUAAAGAGCGCGCAGGCGGUUGUGCAAGUCGCGUGUGAAAGCCCCCGGCUCAACUGGGGAGGGUCACGCGAUACUGUUCGACUUGAAGGCAGGAGAGGGAAGUGGAAUUCCCGGUGUAGUGGUGAAAUGCGUAGAUAUCUGGAGGAACACCCGUAGCGAAGGCGGCACUCUGGGCCGGUACUGACGCUGAGGAGCGAAAGCGUGGGGAGCGAACAGG